AUGGAAUUACGGGGGGACUCCUACGGGAGGCAGCAGUGGGGAAUAUUGGACAAUGGGGGGAACCCUGAUCCAGCCAUGCCGCGUGUGUGAAGAAGGCCUUCGGGUUGUAAAGCACUUUAAUUUGGGAGGAAGGGCUUACGGUUAAUAACCGCUAAGUUUUGACGUUACCAAAAGAAUAAGCACCGGCUAACUUCGUGCCAGCAGCCGCGGUAAAAU
rnacentral:rRNA from 1 species